CUAUUUAUGAGAAUGUUUCUCUCUUAUCA
rnacentral:tRNA from 1 species